AUUGAACGCUGGCGGCAUGCCUUACACAUGCAAGUCGAACGGUAACAGGUCUUCGGAUGCUGACGAGUGGCGAACGGGUGAGUAAUACAUCGGAACGUGCCUAGUAGUGGGAGAUAACUACUCGAAAGAGUGGCUAAUACCGCAUGAGAUCUACGGAUGAAAGCAGGGGAUCGCAAGACCUUGUGCUACUAGAGCGGCCGAUGGCAGAUUAGGUAGUUGGUGGGAUAAAAGCUUACCAAGCCGACGAUCUGUAGCUGGUCUGAGAGGACGAUCAGCCACACUGGGGAUGAGACACGGCCCAGACUCCUACGGGAGGCAGCAGUGGGGAAUUUUGGACAAUGGGCGCAAGCCUGAUCCAGCAAUGCCGCGUGCAGGAUGAAGGCCUUCGGGUUGUAAACUGCUUUUGUACGGAACGAAAAGCCCCGGGUUAAUACCCUGGGGUCAUGACGGUACCGUAAGAAUAAGCACCGGCUAACUACGUGCCAGCCGCCGCAGUAA
rnacentral:rRNA from 1 species